UAUCUCUGUGGAAGCAAAGAUUUGUGGAAUUGAUGAAGAAAAACUUGAGAAGAUUCCAAAGGGUUUGGAGACUUUUGAAUCAACCAAAUGUGGAUUUUGGAGGCAAAUUAAGUCACUUCAUCUUUCGUUAAGAUCUGGCAUCUAUGUGUUGUGUGAUAUUUUUGCCUUUUUCGUAUGAAUAACAUAGUAAGAACGGUUUACAAAAUUACAAAUAUGGUUGUUGUAGUAGAAAUUGAUACAAUGAUAUUAACUAACCCCAAAACAUGUAAUUAUCAUAUAUAUAAUGAGAUGAUUUUUUCUCUU